CAAUAGCGUAUAUUAAAGUUGUUGCAGUUAAAAAGCUCGUAGUUGGAUUUCUGGUGGGAGCGAUCGGUCUGGCGCUUAGCGCGAGUACUUGCAUCGUCUCCGGCCAUCCUUGGGGAGAGUCUGUCUGGCAUUAAGUUGUCGAGCAGAGGAUCCUCAUCGUUUACUGUGAAAAAAUUAGAGUGUUCAAAGCAGGCUUAUGCCGUUGAAUAUAUUAGCAUGGAAUAAUAAGAUAGGACUUUGGUACUAUUUUGUUGGUUUGCGCACCAAAGUAAUGAUUAAUAGGGACAGUUGGGGGUAUUCGUAUUCCGUUGUCAGAGGUGAAAUUCUUGGAUUUACGGAAGACGAACUACUGCGAAAGCAUUUACCAAGGAUGUUUUCAUUAA
rnacentral:rRNA from 1 species